rnacentral:lncRNA from 1 species
GUGCUCAGCUGUCCGAGGUGCGGGAAGCCAACUAUUAACAGGAGACAAAGGUUCGUUAGGCGUCCCGCUGUUGAUGUGGAUUGAGCCUGUGCUGAGCCCCAGGCUUCUCUGGCCUGAGUCUCUUCCACAGGGUGGAGUGAGCUGGGGGCGGGGCUGAGGGUCUGUGUGG